CCUACGGGUGGCUGCAGUCGAGAAUCUUCGGCAAUGGGCGCAAGCCUGACCGAGCGACGCCGCGUGCGGGAUGAAGGUCUUCGGAUUGUAAACCGCUGUCGGAGGGGAUGAAAUGCAUGGGGGUACUCCCCUGUGUUUGACAGAGCCUCGGAGGAAGCACGGGCUAAGUUCGUGCCAGCAGCCGCGGUAAUACGAACUGUGCGAAUGUUCUUCGGAAUCACUUGGCUUGGCGGCUGCGUAGGUCAGGUGUGAAAUCCCCCGGCUCAACCGGGGAACUGCGCUUGAAACUGGGGUGCUCGAGUGAGGUAGGGGUGUAUGGAACUUCCGGUGGAGCGGUGAAAUGUGUAGAUAUCGGAAGGAACGCCGGCGGCGAAAGCGGUACACUGGGCCUUGUCUGACGCUGAGGCACGAAAGCUAGGGGAGUGAACGGGAUUAGAUACCCGGGUAGUC
rnacentral:rRNA from 1 species